rnacentral:rRNA from 1 species
AUGCUUCCCGCCGGCGACGGCUCGUCCGCCGCCGUCGCCGCCCUCUCUUUCACCGAUGCGGACGGCGACGACUACUCCGAGGACGGGGACUUCACCGGCGUCCCGUUCCUCGAACCGCCCGAUCCGAGCCUCCCCGACCCCACCUCCUCCUCCGCCACCGCCCUGCUCCCCGCGGGUGGAAGCGGCGGCCAAGCCUCGUCGGGCGGCGAGCGGCGGCCACUCUUCCAGCGCCUCUGGACGGAGGAGGACGAGAUCGUGAUCCUCCGCGGGUUCGCGGAGUUCACCGCCGCCCGCGGCACGGCGUUCGCGUCGCACCAGUACGACACGGACCCCUUCUACGAGGAUAUGCGCCGCCGCCUCCAGCUCGACUUCUCCAAGAGCCAGCUCGUCGAGAAGCUCCGCCGCCUGAAGCGCAAGUACCGCAACUGCGUCUCCCGCCUCCGCGGGUCCGGCGCUGCCUUCUCCUUCCGCUCCCCGCACGAGCAGGCCAUUUUCGAGAUCGCGCGCAACAUCUGGCGCCCCACGAAUAAGCACGGCCGGGAUCCCUCGGCCGACUCCGACGACGAAGAGGCUGUGGUUGCCGCUGCGGCGGUGGCUGCCACAUCUGUCCCUGCGAACACCAGCCCCAAUGGGGAAGUCAAGUCCCCCUCAGGGCGGCAGCGCCGCCGUAGACGCUCGGUGGAAUCAGCUCCAACUGCCCCUGCUGCUGUCCCUGCCACCAUUUUGGUGCAGCCCCCUCAGCCAGUGCAGGUGCAGAUGCCUGUGUCAGUCCCUGUCAAGAUGGAUGACUCGCUACCAGCACUGCCCCAGGCUCCAAUGCCUGUGACAGUGACCAUGGAGGGUUCCGAGCCACUCAAGUUUCCGGUCAUGUCACCGCAGUCAGGAGUUCUUGAUGUCGAGAAGAAUUUUCUGACGCCUAUGUUUAAGGAGAUGAUUCACGCAGUGAUAAAUAUGGGAUCCAGUCCGUUUGGUAUGAAACUUCCUGAGCCGCCACAUGGCUUGCCCAUGGAAGGGGAGAAAUGGAGAAAUCAGCGAAUCCUGGAGCUGGAAGUGUACUUGAAGCGGAUCGAACUGCUGCAGGACCAGGUGAAGGCGACGCUUGAGGAGCUCAAGUCCUCCACACCUAGGACUUGA